rnacentral:rRNA from 1 species
UACGUAGGUGGCGAGCGUUGUCCGGAUUUAUUGGGUUAAAGGGUGCGUAGGCGGUCCUAUAAGUCAGUGGUGAAAUAUCGCAGCUCAACUGUGAGGGUGCCAUUGAUACUGUAGGACUUGAGUGAAUUUGAGGUAGGCGGAAUUGACGGUGUAGCGGUGAAAUGCGUAGAUAUCGAGAGGAACACCUGCGGCGAAGGCGGGUUGCUGGGCUGAUACUGACGCUGAGGCGCGAAAGCCAGGGGAGCGAACGGG